rnacentral:rRNA from 1 species
CCUACGGGAGGCAGCAGUGAGGAAUAUUGGUCAAUGGACGAGAGUCUGAACCAGCCAAGUAGCGUGAAGGAUGACUGCCCUAUGGGUUGUAAACUUCUUUUAUAUGGGAAUAAAACGUUCCACGUGUGGGAUUUUGUAUGUACCAUAUGAAUAAGGAUCGGCUAACUCCGUGCCAGCAGCCGCGGUAAUACGGAGGAUCCGAGCGUUAUCCGGAUUUAUUGGGUUUAAAGGGUGCGUAGGUUGAUUGUUAAGUCAGUUGUGAAAGUUUGCGGCCCAACCGUAAAAUUGCAGUUGAAACUGGCAGUCUUGAGUACAGUAGAGGUGGGCGGAAUUCGUGGUGUAGCGGUGAAAUGCUUAGAUAUCACGAAGAACUCCGAUUGCGAAGGCAGUUCACUGGACUGCAACUGACACUGAGGCUCGAAAGUGUGGGUAUCAAACAGGAUUAGAUACCCCGGUAGUC